rnacentral:rRNA from 1 species
UUUAGAGUUUGAUCCAUGGCUCAGAACGAACGCUGGCGGCGCGCCUAAUACAUGCAAGUCGAACGAGAAGGUGUAGCAAUACACUUGUAAAGUGGCGAACGGGUGAGGAAUGCAUGGGUAACCUACCCUCGAGUGGGGGAUAACCAGCCGAAAGGUUGGCUAAUACCGCGUACGCUUCCCGGUCUGCGGAUCGGGAGGGAAAGCCAUACCAUGGGUAUGGCGCUCAAGGAUGGGCUCAUGUCCUAUCAGCUUGUUGGUAGGGUAACGGCCUACCAAGGCUUCGACGGGUAGCUGGUCUGAGAGGACGAUCAGCCACACUGGCACUGCGACACGGGCCAGACUCCUACGGGAGGCAGCAGUAAGGAAUAUUGCGCAAUGGGCGAAAGCCUGACGCAGCGACGCCGCGUGGGGGAUGAAGGUCUUCGGAUUGUAAACCCCUUUUGGGAG